rnacentral:rRNA from 1 species
CUACGGGGCGCUGCAGUGAGGAAUAUUGGUCAAUGGGCGGAAGCCUGAACCAGCCAUGCCGCGUGAAGGAUGACAGCCUUAUGGGUUGUAAACUUCUUUUGUGGUAGAACAAUAAGGGGUACGUGUACCUUGAUGAGUGUAUAUCACGAAUAAGCAACGGCUAACUCCGUGCCAGCAGCCGCGGUAAUACGGAGGUUGCAAGCGUUAUCCGGAUUUAUUGGUUUAAAGGGUGCGUAGGCGGUUUGGUAAGUCAGUGGUGAAAGUUUGCAGCUUAACUGUAAAAUUGCCAUUGAUACUGUCAGACUUGAGUACAGAUGAGGUAGGCGGAAUGUGUGGUGUAGCGGUGAAAUGCUUAGAGAUCACACAGAACACCGAUUGCGAAGGCAGCUUACUAAACUGUUACUGACGCUGAGGCACGAAAGUGUGGGGAUCAAACAGGAUUAGAUACCCGUGUAGUC